GGCUGUGUGGCGCAAUGGAUAGCGCGCUGGACUUCUAAUCCAGAGGUUGCGGGUUCGAGUCCCGCCACGGUCG
rnacentral:tRNA from 1 species